rnacentral:rRNA from 1 species
AGCUCCAAUAGCGUAUAUUAAAAUUGUUGUGGUUAAGAAGCUCGUAGUUGGAUUUCUGCUGAGGACGACCGGUCCGCCCUCUGGGUGAGCAUCUGGCUUGGCCUUGGCAUUUGCUUGGACAACACUACUGCACUUGAUUGUGUGGUGUGGUAUCCAAGGUCUUUACUUUGAGGAAAUCAGAGUGCUUACAGCAGGCAUCUGCCGUGAAUACAGUAGCAUGGAAUAAUAAGAUAAACUUUGGUUUUAUUUUGUUGGUUUUAGAACUGAAGUGAUGAUUAACAGGGACAGUUGGGGGCAGUUGUAUUUAACUGUCAGAGGUGAAAUUCUUGGAUUUGUUAAAGACAAACUAUUGCGAAAGCAUUUGCCAAGGAUGUUUUCUUUGAUCAAGAACGAAAGUACG